GCGAAAAUAUUUGACAAAGGUAAUUACCGCUAAAAGUUCCCGGUACGUAGUACAAUAUUUUUGUUGGGUAUCACUCAACAUUCGACUAGCAUAGGCAAUAACCUUUUCCUCACCAUCCUGUACCUGUGAAAGGACAGCACCUAUUGCAUGACCACUAGCAUCCGUAUCCAAAAUAAAUUCACCAUCCCCUAUAGGGUAACUUAAAAUGGGAGCAGAAAUAAGUUUCUCUUUCAAAACUUCAAAAGCAUUUUGACAAUCCUG
rnacentral:lncRNA from 1 species